rnacentral:rRNA from 1 species
ACGCUGGCGGCGUGCUUAACACAUGCAAGUCGAACGAGAGCGUAGAGAAAGCUUGCUUUUUCUACAAUCUAGUGGCAAACGGGUGAGUAACGCGUAAACAACCUGCCCUACGGAUGGGGACAACAGCUGGAAACGGCUGCUAAUACCGAAUACGUUCCGAAAGUCGCAUGACUAUCGGAAGAAAGGAUGGCCUCUAUUUAUAAGCUAUCGCCGGAGGAGGGGUUUGCGUCUGAUUAGCUAGUUGGAGGGGUAACGGCCCACCAAGGCGACGAUCAGUAGCCGGUCUGAGAGGAUGAACGGCCACAUUGGAACUGAGACACGGUCCAGACUCCUACGGGAGGCAGCAGUGGGGAAUCUUCCGCAAUGGGCGAAAGCCUGACGGAGCAACGCCGCGUGAGUGAAGACGGCCUUCGGGUUGUAAAGCUCUGUUAUACGGGACGAAUAGUCUUGUGGUUAAUACCCAUAAGAAGUGACGGUACCGUAAGAGAAAGCCACGGCUAACUACGUGCCAGCAGCCGCGGUAAUACGUAGGUGGCAAGCGUUGUCCGGAAUUAUUGGGCGUAAAGGGCGCGCAGGCGGCUUCUUAAGUCUGUCUUAAAAGUGCGGGGCUUAACCCCGUGAUGGGAUGGAAACUGGGAAGCUCAGAGUAUCGGAGAGGAAAGCGGAAUUCCUAGUGUAGCGGUGAAAUGCGUAGAUAUUAGGAGGAACACCAGUGGCGAAAGCGGCUUUCUGGACGAAAACUGACGCUGAGGCGCGAAAGCCAGGGGAGCGAACGGGAUUAGAUACCCCGGUAGUCCUGGCCGUAAACGAUGGGUACUAGGUGUAGGAGGUAUCGACCCCUUCUGUGCCGGAGUUAACGCAAUAAGUACCCCGCCUGGGGAGUACGGCCGCAAGGUUGAAACUCAAAGGGAAUUGACGGGGGCCCGCACAAGCGG